CUAGGAAGUCUGUUGAUUUCCAGAUAAAGGCCUCUGCUGGAGGUGCCGACCUGGGCUGUUUGACAUCUCUCUGGAGGGAGGCCUGCGACAGGAUUGAUUGGAAUCCUGUCUCCUCAGUCGUGUGAACCAUUCCGAAGCAGCAGCAACCUAUCUGUGGGUGAUGUGUGGUCGACUCCCCCGGGCUGAGGAGCUGCCUACUGUGGCCCCGAUCCUGUGACUAAUUGUGCUGAUGCUUCAACGUAAACACACGAGUAGUAAGGGUCCUGUUCAUGUGCUUAAAGUGAAGCAUGUGCAUAAAUGUCUGCAGAAUUGGAGCCCACGGUG